UAGGGAAUUUUGCGCAAUGGGCGAAAGCCUGACGCAGCAACGCCGCGUGCGGGAGGAAGGCCCUCGGGUUGUAAACCGCUUUCAGCAGGAACGAAAAUGACGGUACCUGCAGAAGAAGCCCCGGCCAACUACGUGCCAGCAGCCGCGGUGAUACGUAGGGGGCGAGCGUUGUCCGGAUUUAUUGGGCGUAAAGAGCUCGUAGGCGGUUCGGUAAGUCAGGUGUUAAAACUCCAGGCUCAACUUGGAGAGGCCACCUGAUACUGCCAUGACUAGAGUUCGGUAGAGGAGCACGGAAUUCCUGGUGUAGCGGUGAAAUGCGCAGAUAUCAGGAGGAACACCAGCGGCGAAGGCGGUGCUCUGGGCCGACACUGACGCUGAGGAGCGAAAGCGUGGGUAGCGAACAGGAUUAGAUACCCCAGUUAGUCCCUGAGCGGGCUGGCAAGGCGCAU
rnacentral:rRNA from 1 species